rnacentral:tRNA from 1 species
GGUGGCUCAGUGGUAGAGUGCUUGCCUUGCAUGCAUGAGGCCCUGGGUUCGAUUCCUCACACCA